rnacentral:rRNA from 1 species
CCUACGGGAGGCAGCAGUAGGGGAAUCUUCCGCAAUGGACGAAAGUCUGACGGAGCAACGCCGCGUGAACGAUGAAGGCCUUCGGGUCGUAAAGUUCUGUUGUUAGGGAAGAACAAGUGCUAGUUAAAUAAGCUGGCACCUUGACGGUACCUAACCAGAAAGCCACGGCUAACUACGUGCCAGCAGCCGCGGUAAUACGUAGGUGGCAAGCGUUGUCCGGAAUUAUUGGGCGUAAAGCGCGCGUCAGGCGGUUUCUUAAGUCUGAUGUGAAAGCCCCCGGCUCAACCGGGGAGGGUCAUUGGAAACUGGGAAACUUGAGUGCAGAAGAGGAAAGUGGAAUUCCAAGUGUAGCGGUGAAAUGCGUAGAGAUUUGGAGGAACACCAGUGGCGAAGGCGACUUUCUGGUCUGUAACUGACGCUGAGGCGCGAAAGCGUGGGGAGCAAACAGGAUUAGGAUACCCUGGUAGUCCACGCUGUAAACGAUGAGUGCUAAGUGUUAGAGGGUUUCGCCUUUAGUGCUGAAGUUAACGCAUUAAGCACUCCGCCUGGGGAGUACGGUCGCGAAGACUGAAACUCAAAGGAAUUGACGG